rnacentral:lncRNA from 1 species
CUUAUACUCAUUCAGGAAAUAUUCAGUAUCUCCUGUGCUCCAGACUCUGUUUUAGGAGUUGGGAAUAUAAAAUUAAUGCUUAUUAUAUCAUUUAAAGUAAAAAUAAGAAAAACAUUAUUGUUUUGAUGGAUUAUAGUUAAGGGUAUAUAUAAUUAUAUAUUAUAGCCAAUAUAACAGAUUAUAUAUAUGCAUAUACAUACAUACGUUUAUUUAUUUAGUGAUUAUUUCCAGUGGAGCAAGGAUGAUUACUUAGUUUCCAGGCACUAAAAUUAUGCUGACAAUUUUCUCGAUUACCAUCCUUUAUCCCCAGUGGAGAUUACUUGAAUCACUAGUUGAUAGAGGAUGUAUAUUUUUUAAAUUAAUUAAUUUGCUUGUUUUAAUUUUUAUAUAUGACAUCAGAAUGCAUUUUGAUUCAUAGUACAUAUAUAGAGGACAAUUUUCAUUUAUCUGGUGUACACAAAGUAGAGUCAGACCAUUCAUAUCUUCAUACAUGUACCUAGGGUAACGCCAUCCAUCUCAUUCCACCAUCUUUCCUACUCCCCUGCCCCCUCCCUUCCCCUCCCUCUCCUUUGCCCUACUCAAAAUUCCUCCAUUCCUCCCAUGCUCCUCCCCACCUCCAUUAUCCAUCAGCAUCCACUUAUCAGAGAAAACAUUUGGCCUUUGG